rnacentral:misc_RNA from 1 species
UUUCCGUAGGUGAACCUGCGGAAGGAUCAUUCGUAAUAAAGUGUUUUAUGGCACUUUUUAAAAAUCCAUAUCCACCUUGUGUGCAAUGUUAGAUCUCGUCAAUCUUGGCGAGGUUUCUAUACAUCAACUCAUUCUUUAACUAAUUUGUCUGAAAAAUAAUAUGAAUACUUAAUUCAAAAUACAACUUUCAACAACGGAUCUCUUGGCUCUC